rnacentral:rRNA from 1 species
AGAGUUUGAUCCUGGCUCAGGAUGAACGCUAGCGGCAGGCCUAAUACAUGCAAGUCGAACGGUAACAUGAGAGCUUGCUCUUGAUGACGAGUGGCGCACGGGUGCGUAACGCGUAUGCAACCUACCCUUUACUGGGGGAUAGCCCGGAGAAAUCCGGAUUAAUACCCCAUGGUACCAUAAUAUAGCCUUAUAUAGUGGUUAAAGAUUUAUUGGUAAAGGAUGGGCAUGCGUGACAUUAGUUAGUUGGUAAGGUAACGGCUUACCAAGACGAUGAUGUCUAGGGGUUCUGAGAGGAAGGUCCCCCACACUGGUACUGAGACACGGACCAGACUCCUACGGGAGGCAGCAGUAGGGAAUAUUGGUCAAUGGACGCAAGUCUGAACCAGCCAUGCCGCGUGCAGGAUGACAGCUUUCUGAGUUGUAAACUGCUUUUAUAUAGGAACAAAUAGGCCAUGCGUGGCAAGUUGCGUGUACUAUAUGAAUAAGCACCGCUAACU